GAUGAACGCUGGCGGCGUGCCUAAUACAUGCAAGUCGAGCGAACAGACGAGGAGCUUGCUCCUCUGACGUUAGCGGCGGACGGGUGAGUAACACGUGGAUAACCUACCUAUAAGACUGGGAUAAAUUCGGGAAACCGGAGCUAAUACCGGAUAAUAUAUGGAACCGCAUGGUUCAAUAGUGAAAGACGGUUUUGCUGUCACUUAUAGAUGGAUCCGCGCCGCAUUAGCUAGUUGGUAAGGUAACGGCUUACCAAGGAAACGAAGCGUAGCCGACCUGAGAGGGUGAUCGGCCACACUGGAACUGAGACGCGGUCCAGACUCCUACGGGAGGCAGCAGUAGGGAAUCUUCCGCAAUGGGCGAAAGCCUGACGGAGCAACGCCGCGUGAGUGAUGACGGUCUUCGGAUCGUAAAACUCUGUUAUUAGGGAAGAACAAAUGUGUAAGUAACUAUGCACGUCUUGACGGUACCUAAUCAGAAAGCCACGGCUAACUACGUG
rnacentral:rRNA from 1 species